GACGGGGGCCCGCACAAGCAGUGGAGUAUGUGGUUUAAUUCGAAGCAACGCGAAGAACCUUACCAGGUCUUGACAUCGUAUGCAUAGUCUAGAGAUAGAUGAAACCUCUUCGGAGGCAUAUAGACAGGUGGUGCAUGGUUGUCGUCAGCUCGUGUCGUGAGAUGUUGGGUUAAGUCCCGCAACGAGCGCAACCCUUACCUUUAGUUGCUACGCAAGAGCACUCUAAAGGGACUGCCGUUGACAAAACGGAGGAAGGUGGGGAUGACGUCAAAUCAUCAUGCCCCUUAUGACCUGGGCUACACACGUACUACAAUGGCAAUUAACAAAGAGAAGCAAGACGGUGACGUGGAGCGAAUCUCAAAAAAUUGUCCCAGUUCAGAUUGCAGGCUGCAACUCGCCUGCAUGAAGUCGGAAUUGCUAGUAAUCGCGGAUCAGCAUGCCGCGGUGAAUACGUUCCCGGGCCUUGUACACACCGCCCGUCACACCAUGGGAGUCGGUAACACCCGAAGUCGGUAGUCUAACAGGAAUGAGGACGCCGCCGAAUUUGGGAUUGGAAAAUGG
rnacentral:rRNA from 1 species